CUCAUUGGAUGAAAAAUUCAUCAGCUGGAUGCCAGUAUAAUUGAUCUUCCAGAAAUCCUGUUUCUCUGCUCUUCCUACAAAGGUCCAAAUGUGAUCCGAUGCAUUGUUGGUAUUCCGCUGUUUUCCUGGGACAGUUGCCUCAUCGUACAGCCGCUGACCUCACACAGUGCCGGAUCUGAAAUGUCUGUACUAGUUACCACCUAAGAGGAAUGGGACCCGCUCUCGGGGUCUCAUGAAUGGCUGGUAUUUGGGAUAGCAAGAAGCCUAGAGGAUUAGCGCACCUUUGGAGUCCCGGGAUUUUGUGACUCUGGCGGUCGGCACCUCUGCAGGGAAUUGGGGUGUCGUGGGAGACGGAAGAUCGAAAGCGGAAAGCUGGCUGCUGGCUGUGUGCCCGGAGGCUCGAGUUGUUGGGCACAGAGCUCAAAAGAAGCAACGCGACGGAUUUUUAACAUCGUUCUUCUGAAGACCUUGACCCGGAGUUACACUCUGACUUCAGUUCUUUACGGGAAUGGGACUCGCUCUCAGGGCCUCACGACCGGGCACAGCCUGGAAGACUAGCGCACCUUCAGGGUGCCGGAUUUUCAUGGAGGCAGGCUGAUUCAAAGCCCGUGCCCCUGAUUGAGGCAUCGCGGGAGAACGCGGAACAUCAGCAGUAGCAGGUUAGCUGCCGGGGGCUGUGUGUCCAGAGACCCGAGCCUUCCUGGGCACAGAGCUCAAAAAAAAAGCAACACCAUAGACUUUUAACACCAUAAAUCAGAGAGUUAUUUGUUAUGUCUCCC